GCUUUGUAGCGCAAUAGAUAGCGCGUUGGACUUCUGAUCCAAAGGUUCGAAUCUUACCUGGGAUGGCA